rnacentral:lncRNA from 1 species
GGCAUCCUCCUUGGGUUCUUCUGGGCGCUGUUGUAGUGUCCUGGUGGUCACUCCUGUGUGGGCGGCCUGGGUGUUUCGCGGCGGAUGUUUGGGUGGUGCGGUGUGGACCCCGGAUUUUUCGGCUUCUUUUCUCCGGUCCUUCUCGUUGCGGAGCGGGUUGGGGGGCGAUGGUGGUCUCUUCGGUGCGGCUUUCUUUCCGGAGUUGCGGGGGACUUGUUGUGUAGUGGCCGAUUUGGUCGUGGUGUGGGGUAUUGCGGCGGGGGAGUCUUGCUGCGGUCCGUGCUGGUGUCCAAUCGGAGGGGCGUCAUUCAUAGCGGC